rnacentral:rRNA from 1 species
AUUGAACGCUGGCGGCAGGCCUAACACAUGCAAGUCGAGCGGGUGAAGGGAGCUUGCUCCUGGAUUCAGCGGCGGACGGGUGAGUAAUGCCUAGGAAUCUGCCUGGUAGUGGGGGAUAACGUCCGGAAACGGGCGCUAAUACCGCAUACGUCCUGAGGGAGAAAGUGGGGGAUCUUCGGACCUCACGCUAUCAGAUGAGCCUAGGUCGGAUUAGCUAGUUGGUGGGGUAAAGGCCUACCAAGGCGACGAUCCGUAACUGGUCUGAGAGGAUGAUCAGUCACACUGGAACUGAGACACGGUCCAGACUCCUACGGGAGGCAGCAGUGGGGAAUAUUGGACAAUGGGCGAAAGCCUGAUCCAGCCAUGCCGCGUGUGUGAAGAAGGUCUUCGGAUUGUAAAGCACUUUAAGUUGGGAGGAAGGGCAGUAAGUUAAUACCCUGCUGUUUUGACGUUACCAACAGAAUAAGCACCGGCUAACUUCGUG